rnacentral:rRNA from 1 species
GCAGGAACUUGAACCAGGUGCUGCAUGGCUGUCGUCAGCUCGUGUCGUGAGAUGUUGGGUUAAGUCCCGCAACGAGCGCAACCCUUGUCAUUAGUUGCCAUCAUUUAGUUGGGCACUCUAAUGAGACUGCCGGUGACAAACCGGAGGAAGGUGGGGAUGACAUCAAGUCCUCAUGGCCCUUAUGGGUAGGGCUUCACACGUCAUACAAUGGUCGGUACAGAGGGUCGCUAACCCGCGAGGGGGUGCCAAUCUCACAAAGCCGAUCGUAGUCCGGAUCGUAGUCUGCAACUCGACUACGUGAAGUCGGAAUCGCUAGUAAUCGCGGAUCAGAAUGCCGCGGUGAAUACGUUCCCGGGUCUUGUACACACC